rnacentral:tRNA from 1 species
CGUCUCCAGUAGGGAUCGAACCUACACGCCCGAAGGCACAGUUUUCAAGACUGCUGUGAUACCAUUACACGUAUGAAGAC